GGGGGCGACAUGGUUUCGACGUGGGUUGCGAAACCUUCUGGUGCAUGUCGAGGGGCAGAGGACCUCGUUAAUCCAGCUGCAAAUUGAUAGUUGCCAACGACGACAACUACGCUCUAGCUGCUUAAUAACCAGCCUAGUGCCCUCUGACCGGCGUGUGCUUAUGCACCCGGACUCCAGGGGUCGACCCUCAUAAGCUCGCAGCGAAGCUCGUCUGUGGCCUAGCCGCUAAAACCUAAGCAGACUCGCUGAAUGACCGCCCUGCCCGUCGGGCGGCAUCCGGCUAAACACAAUAGACAGGGCUAAACAUGUAGAGCCGAAGGCAGAGGACUUGCGGACGCGGGUUCGAUUC
rnacentral:tmRNA from 1 species